rnacentral:lncRNA from 1 species
CGCGACAAAAAGUAAAUUAAAUUUGCCGCCGGAAAACGCUCUUAAUAAGCGCUGAAACGCGAGGUACAAAAGUCACAGGUGUUCCCAUUUCAACUUCACAUUUCGCUCAGUCCCAAUAGUGAGCUGUAUAAAAACAGCUGUGCUUUUCUUCUAGUUCAGUUAACCCAAACAGUGCCGAAAACGUUCGUGAGUGCUCCAGACGCAAACAUGUUUGCGAAGGAGAUUUUAAUUUUCACGCUCGUGGGUUUUGUGUUCUCACAGCAGCCUGCAGCUGUAGAAGACCCAACGGUUCCACCUUCAACCAAUGGCAUAGCUCGGCUGGCGUCUAGCUCGGUGAGGGGGGUGGGCACCCUUCUGGACAGCGGGGCGCACGCGACGGCCUCCGGGGUGGAACUGACGACCAACUCGAUGGCGAACGGGGUGAAGACGCUGGGCGGCGCCGCCGACCUGGCCAACAACGUCCAGCAGAUGAAGUUCGACGCCUUGCGGCAAGCCCGCCACGCGGCCGGUCGCUUCGGGGCGUCUCUCGCGGACCUGAGCAUGGGCGCCCUCACCGGGAUCCUGCGCAGGGGCGCUGAGGCCGUUGAUGCUACCAGGCGCGCUACUGAGUUCGUCCUCGGUGAAUCGGAUAAGGUCCAUGGUGCUAGCAAGAGGGUCGCCAAGUCCCUCGUGUCCAAUACGUCUGGCAGUUUUGUGAAUGUCCUCAACGGGGUUAGCAAUGUCGUCGACAAGGGCGGAGAAGUCCGCGAAGAGGUUGCCGAUACUGCAGGAGCUAUCCACGAUGCCAGUACCGAUUUGGUGAAAGAGGGGGUGCGAACUUGGAAAGACCUUGGUCUAUCGUCCAUAGGAAGCAUUAGAGCAGGCAUGCAGGAGGCAAGGAAAAGGGCCAGAGGAGGACAACUCCCAGAUGCAACCACGAGUCCAUCAGCGCCAACACCAGUGAAAGAGGAGCCGAAAAAACCAGCAGAGGAAACCAAACCGAAACCAGGAAAUUGGUUUGGAUGGUGAACGAGAUAUUCAAAUUUGAUCAAGUCGUUUUUUCGAAAUCUGUUCGGGAGUUUUUAAAAUAUGCGGCGCUUUUUUCCUGCUUCGUCUGGCAGGCAAUGAAUUGUUUUCAAGCAUGACGGGGGAGGGGGGCAACAUAAUUAAAAGCAAUACAUACUUCAAAUUUUUGGACCCUUAAGUUUUCUAUGCAGUUGAGAUAAAAUAAAAAUGUUAAAUUUUUUCCUCUUUUUUGAUCGAAUAAAUAGAAUAAAUUCACAUUUUUUGGUUAACUAUAACAUUAUUAUAUAUAUAAGGUAGGCAGCCAUUUUGCCAGGUUUAACUGAAUCACACCAACAAUGGGGGAAAAGUAGUUUGGAGUACUUCCAAAUUCUAGUCGUGCAUUAUUAAAGCCCGUUAAAAAUUCAAAGUUGAAAAAAGUUGAGAAAGAAAAAAGUUUUCAAAAUGUGUCUUUCACAUGGAGUCCUAUGGAGGAAAUAAACUUCAAAAAUAUUUUUCUCGAUGAAAACUUCAUAUGAAACUUAGUGUGUCUCUGUUAAACUCGGCCCGGUUGAUGUCUCAAAGGAAGUUCCUAAAUUGUAUAUAUAACUAUAAAUUUACUAAUGAAGUUACUGUACAAUGAUUUAUAAAUAACCUCGAGUUUUCUAUUUUUCAUGUGUUCCCUUCAUUUGAGCUUUUGCUACUUUUGAGCCUUUUUAAAAUCUCCUCUCAAAGCGGAUAUGGAAAAAAUUAUGGUAAUUUCAAAUAUAUUUUUGGAUAAUUUUGGUGUCAGCCAUUGGUACAGUUUCACCAGCCAGAACUAUGAUUGCUAUGUGCUACCACAUUUCUGUCUGACCAAACCAUACUUCUAGCUAAUGAAAGUAGACGCCUAUUUGGUGCCAAAAUCAAUCCAAAAUGUAGUUGAAAUUACCGUAAAUUCUUAACGUGAAGGCUCUUUUCGCAGUAGGCAGUCACGUAUCCAGCGUAAAUUCAGAAAGUAUGCAUUGCCAUGCUAAAAAAAAUACCGUACGAGCCAUCAGGCGUUGCUAAAUUUCCCUGACAAAUCGAGAAUUUCCAGAAAAAUGUGUGAAUUCCACUUUCGAUUGUUCAGAGGCUUUUCUUUUUAAAUUGAUCUAAAAAGUCUGAAAAUUUUAUAGGAAAAUAUUCAUAACUUUCUUUUAAAAUCAAUUUCUUUUUAGAGAAAAUUUCUCAAAAUUCGAUUGCUCAUGCGGCAUUACUACUUAGUACGGCAGUAUAGUUGUUUGCGCGCUCCUCCCUGAAGUACUCAAGAAUUUAUGGUUCGUUUUUGCCCAGUUUGUGACGUUGCGGUGCUGAUGGCGCAACGCAGGAAAGUUUGACUCGUGAAAUUUUAAACUAUCGAACAUUGCUCCCAUAUCAGUAUGAAAAGGUCAAUUGGAUCAGCUUUUUGACGUUAUGAUGGCGCGGUGCGGCGGUUGG